rnacentral:rRNA from 1 species
GACGAACGCUGGCGGCGUGCCUAAUACAUGCAAGUUGAGCGCUGAAGGUUGGUACUUGUACCGACUGGAUGAGCAGCGCACGGGUGAGUCACGCGUGUGGAAUCUGCCUUUGAGCGGGGGACAACCUUUGGACACGAAUGCUAAUACCGCAUAAACACUUUAUACACAAGUUUUAAGUUUGAAAGAUGCCAUUGCAUCACUCAAAGAUGAUCCCGCGUUGUAUUAGCUAGUUGGUGAGGUAAAGGCUCACCAAGGCGAUGCUACAUAGCCGACCUGAGAGGGAGAGCGGCCAGAUUGGGGAUGGGACACGGCCAAAACGGGUACGGGAGGCAGCAGUAGGGAAUACGCGGCAAUGGAGGAAAGUAUGAUCGAGAAAGGCCGCGUGAGUGAAGAAGGAUUGCGGAUCGUAAAACGAUGGUGGUAGAGAAGAAAGUUGGUGAGAGUGGAAAGCACAUGAAGUGAAGGGAAAUGCGCAGAAAGGGACGGCUAAAUAAGGG